rnacentral:lncRNA from 1 species
CCUCGGAUUUAACUAUCUUAUGGAACCAACGUUUAGGUCAUGCUUCAUUUUCUAUUAUUCAGCGUAGUUUAUCUUCUAGUGUUUCCUUAAAUAAAGAUCAUGCUAUCCAUGUCUAUUCAGCAUGUCAAAUGGAUAAGAUUGUACCAUAAAUAAAAGUUCUAUGUUAUUUAAACUUGUGCAUACAGACAUUUUGGGCCUGGCACCUAUUACUUCUCAUUCUGAUCAUUUAUAUUAU